ACGGCUCCAGUAACACGUGGAUAUCCUGCCCUUUGGGUCCGGCAUAACCCCGGGAAACUGGGGAUAAUUCCGGAUAACGCACAUAUGCUGGAAUGCUUUAUGCGUAAAAUGGAUUCGUCUGCCCAAGGAUGGGUCUGCGGCCUAUCAGGUAGUAGUGGGUGUAAUGUACCUACUAGCCUACAACGGGUACGGGUUGUGAGAGCAAGAGCCCGGAGAUGGAUUCUGAGACAUGAAUCCAGGCCCUACGGGGCGCAGCAGGCGCGAAAACUUUACAAUGCGGGAAACCGUGAUAAGGGGACACCGAGUGCCAGCAUCAUAUGCUGGCUGUCCAGGUGUGUAAAAUACACCUGUUAGCAAGGGCCGGGCAAGACCGGUGCCAGCCGCCGCGGUAACACCGGCGGCCCGAGUGGUGAUCGUGAUUAUUGGGUCUAAAGGGUCCGUAGCCGGUUUGGUCAGUCCUCCGGGAAAUCUGACGGCUUAACCGUUAGGCUUUCGGGGGAUACUGCCAGGCUUGGAACCGGGAGAGGUAAGAGGUACUACAGGGGUAGGAGUGAAAUCUUGUAAUCCCUGUGGGACCACCUGUGGCGAAAGCGUCUUACCAGAACGGGUUCGACGGUGAGGGACGAAAGCUGGGGGCACGAACCGGAUUAGAUACCCGGGUAGUCCCAGCCGUAAACGAUGCUCGCUAGGUGUCAGCAUGGCGCGACCGUGUCUGGUGCCGCAGGGAAGCCGUGAAGCGAGCCACCUGGGAAGUACGGCCGCAAGGCUGAACUUAAAGGAAUUUGGCGGGGGAGCAC
rnacentral:rRNA from 1 species